GCCUCCCUCUUUCUUCGUGCCUAAUAUAUGCAAGUAGAACGCUGAAGCUUGGUGCUUGCACCGAGCGGUUGAGUUGCGAACGGGUGAGUAACGCGUAGGUAACCUGCCUGGUAGCGGGGGAUAACUAUUGGAAACGAUAGCUACUACCGCAUAAGAGUAGAUGUUGCAUUACAUUUGCUUAAAAGGUGCAAUUGCAUCACUACCAGAUGGACCUGCGUUGUAUUAGCUAGUUGGUGAGGUAACGGCUCACCCAGGCAACGAUACAUAGCCGACCUGAGAGGGGAAGAGGCAACGCUGGGAUGGAGACACGGCCCAGACUCCUACGAGAGGCAGCAGUAGGGAAUCUUUGGCAAUGGACGGAAGUCUGACCGAUCAACGCCGCGUGAGUGAAGAAGGUUGUCGGAUCGUAUAGCUCUGGUGUAAGAGAAGAUCGUGUGUGAGUGUGGAAAGUUCACACUGUGACGGUAUCGGAACAGAAAGGGACGGCUAACUACGUG
rnacentral:rRNA from 1 species